rnacentral:Y_RNA from 1 species
GGCUGGUCCGAAGGUAGUGAGUUAUCUCACUUGAUUGUUCACAGUAAGUUACAGAUUGAACUUCUUGUUCUACUACUUAACCGCCCUCCUCACUACUGCACUUGACUAGUCUUAA